rnacentral:rRNA from 1 species
CAGUCGCCGCGGUAAUACGGAGGGGGCUAGCGUUGUUCGGAUUCAUUGGGCGUAAAGGGUGCGUAGGUGGCUUGGUAAGUUGAAGGUGAAAUCUCGGGGCUUAACCCCGAAACUGCCUUCAAUACUGCUAGGCUCGAGGACUGUAGAGGAGAAUGGAAUUCACGGUGUAGCAGUGAAAUGCGUAGAUAUCGUGAGGAAGACCAGUGGCGAAGGCGAUUCUCUGGGCAGUUCCUGACACUGAGGCACGAAGGCCAGGGGAGCAAACGGGAUUAGAUACCCCAGUAGUCCCUGUCUCUUAUAC